CGAUGGAGGACCCAGGUCAACCAAGAGAAGAAGAGUAUUACAUUGCCCAGCUAUGUUUGGCGGCCAACAUUGGUGAAAAAUUCAAGUUCGAAGCUGCUUCACUACUGUCUUUCAGUAACGAGAGGAGAUUCGGUAUGGAACAAUCCUCUAUCUCCAGCUUUGAAGGGGAGACUGUCUCUUAAAAGCAAGAGUGCUCUGAGUUCAAAGGUCAACUGUAGCCAAGUAAAGACGAUAAGAUACAAUGUGCACAUGUUGCACUCUAUCAACUUUAUUUCAAUUAACUUCAUUAACUUCACUAGUCUGGCACACUUCUGUCACUCCUCAAAAUGUUUACUGGUCAGGGUUAGACUGGUAUUGAUCCAAGACGAAGAGCAGACUGUGGCCUUUCGGAAGGAGUGCAAAGAGUUCAGCGAUGGACCGGAGCUAGCCUAAGCAUUGAUAGUAAAUUAUGCAAUUUGUAUAUUGCACUCUGUUGACUUCCUUACUCUCUCUGUGUUGAGGAAAUAUUGCUUUUGCUUUGACAUGUAGACAUCUUUGUUAAGAGGUACAGGGUUAGACUGGCCUCGUUCUGCCGAAGAAGAGUAGACUGUCACCCAAGCGGGCGUUCAGUGACGAAAUGCAGUCAAUCUCAGACAUGCGGUUAGAAGGUUGGGCUGUUAGGGAUCAAGAGGUCAAGAAGAAAUUCUCAUGCAGAAGAAGAAGCUGCAAGGGAAGAAUCGACUGCAGCCAACUCCCCAAGUUAAGCAGAAGGAUGUUUACGCUGACCUGGAACCUAUAGUGAGGAGGAGUUUGUCUCCCAUUCAAGUGCAGCUACCACUAAAGAUGAGGAUGCAGAGCAGCAGGACCCAUGAAAAGGAGAACCAAGGCCAAAAGACAGAAGAAGAUGAGCAGCAGGACCCAUGAAGAGGAGGACUAAGGUUGGAUCAGAGAAGAAAAGGAGCAGCUGGAUCCAUGAAUACAAGAAGAAGGACCAAGGUCUGCCAACAGAAGAAGAGGAGUUUCAGGACCCAAGAAGAGGAGUAGCAGGACCCUUGAAGAGGACGAAGGCCGCUUGACAGAAGAAAAGAAGAAAAGGAGUCCAUUGCCCAGCUUUGACCUGGGGCCAACAUUGGCA